rnacentral:rRNA from 1 species
UACGUAGGGGGCAAGCGUUGUCCGGAAUCAUUGGGCGUAAAGAGCGUGUAGGCGGUCCGGUAAGUCGGCUGUGAAAGUCCAGGGCUCAACCCUGGGAUGCCGGUCGAUACUGCCGGACUAGAGUUCGGAAGAGGCGAGUGGGAAUUCCCGGUGUAGCGGUGAAAUGCGCAGAUAUCGGGAGGAACACCUAUGGCGAAGGCAGCUCGCUGGGACGUUACUGACGCUGGAGACGCGAAAGCGUGGGGAGCAAACAGG